UACGUAGGGGGCGAGCGUUGUCCGGAUUUAUUGGGCGUAAAGAGCUCGUAGGCGGCUUGGCAAGUCGGGUGUGAAACCUCCAGGCUCAACCUGGAGACGCCACUCGAUACUGCUAUGGCUAGAGUCCGGUAGGGGACCACGGAAUUCCUGGUGUAGCGGUGAAAUGCGCAGAUAUCAGGAGGAACACCGGUGGUGAAGGCGGUGGUCUGGGCCGGCACUGACGCUGAGGAGCGAAAGCGUGGGUAGCAAACAGG
rnacentral:rRNA from 1 species